UUGAGGACUGAGUUGAGUGAUUUGAAAAUGUUGGUGACGGCGUGGCCAGCUAUAAUGGUUCGCUCUGUAAGUCUCUUCCACGUUGUAAUUCAUCAGUCUACUAUACUCCUUCCUCAUGGAUGCCAUGUCAGUGGUACAUUUCCUGGUAUUCUCUAUCCUUAGUUCAUGGCCAGUCCAUUCCAAUUCCUGAGAGUAAUGUUUUUUGCAUGCUCUUCUUGUUUUUGUUUUUUGAUAAAGUUCUUCAUUUGACACUCUAUCUGGCAAUCUACUAGCAGGAUUUUUCUAAGGAAUCUAUUCUUGAUGGUGACGAUCCCAUUUUUGUCUCGAUCUGGUAAUUCUUUGUCUUCUUUCCAUACUUGAGAGCUGACAGGACCAAGUUGGUGUCAUGCGUUACCAGCUCAAUGUAAUACUUUUGACCCUGACUUCAAAUGUCUUUACCCAACAACAGUCAGGAGUAUGUUCCAGUGAUUUUACAGGGAGUCCUUUGACGUGUUGCAAGAAUUAUCGACUUGUUGGAAACGUUUGCACAGAAUGUUUUCCUGGUACUUACGGAGUUAACUGUCAGAAAGACUGCCCUCCCCAAUUCUAUGGGAGAUUCUGCCGAGAGAGGUGUACGUGUGAUCCUUGCGAUAGAAUCAAGGGAUGCUUGAAUAUACUUGUAACAAAUGGAUUCAACAACGACAUUGGCGUUUCCUAAUGCUUUCACAAUAUUCUUCUAAAUAAAGAAAACCUUAGUCCCAGAUCAUCUCUUCUGGAAUUGUGUGUUAAUUAUUAUAAAAGCGGAAAAAACAUAUCUACAUUUGAGGUGCAACAUACUAGAACGUAAUGACUUGAUCAUCUUCCCAGCCAAGGGUUUUGUAACAAGGUGAAUCAGUUGGAGAAUAUUUUGGUUACAAAACUCCUAACUAGAGAGUCCGUGUAUAUGUUAGUAUGUCACGUGUCUAUAUGUAGAUAAUGAGAGAUGAUCAUAGAUCAGAGGAGUACAAUGAACAGAACUUUGAAUAUUCAAAGGUAACAAAUAACAUUGCCUUGAGUUUCUGAAUUAGGUGAUUGAAAAUAUUGAGUGGUUAUCAUAGAUUGAAAGUGAAUUAAUUUUUUAGAAGAUUUUUUGUUGCAUAAAAAAAUGUCAAAAGUUUGUCUUAAUCAGGUGGCUGAGUUAGCGUUAGCGCUUUGACAAGUUGAACGUUGAGCGUUACUACAGUACAAAAGACGUUGCGUGGGUUACGAAACAUCCAAAACCAAACCGAAAUCAACUCUCGAUUGAUCAUUAUAAGUGUAAUUAACAUUACAUAAUACAUAUGCACAAUUUAACAAUAUAUGCACACAUCAAUUCAAAUCAAAACCCACAUCAU